rnacentral:rRNA from 1 species
UAAAUGGCCGCAGUAUUUUAACUGUGCAAAGGUAGCAUAAUAAUUAGUCUUUUAAUUGAAGGCUUGUAUGAAUGAUUGGACGAGAUAUAAGCUGUCUCAUUAAAAAUUAUAGAAUUUUAUUUUUUAGUCAAAAAGCUAAAAUAUUAUAGAAAGACGAGAAGACCCUAUAGAUCUUAAUAAUUUAUAAAUUAUUUAUUAUAAAGAUUAUUUUUGAAUUUAUUUUAUAAAUUAUUUUAUUGGGGUGAUAUUGAAAUUUAAUGAACUUUCAAUUAUACUAAACAUAAAUUAAUGAAUUAGUUGAUCCGUUAUUAACGAUUAAAAAUUUAAGUUACCUUAGGGAUAACAGCGUAAUUAUUUUGGAGAGUUCAAAUCGAUAAAAUAGGUUGCGACCUCGAUGUUGGAUUA